UAUUCAGCAAAUUAUUUAAUUUCUCUGCACCUAAAUUUGCUCAGUCAUGAAAUAUGGCUCAUUUUACCUAUUUCAUAGGGUUGCUCAAGGAUUAAAUGAGACAGCAUAAGUCACAUGCCUGCCUCAUAAUAGGUGCUCAAUAGAAGGGAGCUAUAUUACAGUGGCAGGAAAGGAAAUAAUGGAUUCAAGUACCUGAAAGGUUUGCCUCUGAGGGAGUGUCAGAUUGCAUUCUGCACAUAAAUAAUGCUCCCCGAACCCAAAAGAUCAUUGUCAUUUUUUGUCAUGUGCUAAAAUAUUAUCAGUAGAGACCCUGGAGGAAUCAAUGUGACAGUGUUUGAAUGAAUUAAUGAAGUUGCUCGCCUCAGCCAGGACUCUUUUCGCUUCUUUCCUCCAGGUGUACAAUCUAUUUAAAAAUCUGGGGGCUGGCCCCAUGGCCUAGUGGUUAAGUUCGGUGUGCUGCACUUCAGUGGCCCGGGUUUGGUUCCCAGAUGCAGACCCACACCACUCGUCAGCAGCCAUGCUGUGGUGGUGACCCACAUACAAAAUAGAGGAAGUUUGGCACAGAUGUUAGUUCAGGGCGAAUCUUCCUCAGCAAAAAAAGCAAAGUAAAGUAAAGUAAAAUAAAUAAAUAAAAAUCUGUACACUAGUGCUUAAUAAUUCUCUCUUACAACUUUUUCACAGAGCUUUUGCUGAAUGCUUUCACAGCUCUUAGAGUCAAAUUAUGUCACACACUUGACCAUUGUAUUCAUAGGACCAGAUAUUUGGGGCCUAAAGUAUAUAAACAUACAAUGAUGAGUAAGUGAAGUAUUUCAUAUUUAAAUGAUAAAGAAAUAUUAUUUUUAAGUUUGCUCCUGAUGGAUAGAUCUGAAAUGGCUAAAAAAAUUAAUUUUCGUAAAUGAGAGAAUGAGAAUAUGCCCAAAGAGGCUAAUUCUGGGCUGGGAAUAGCAAUAGUGAAAAAGAGUUCUCUAAUCAAAAAGCCUUAGAAGUGGAAACUUUGCCCUCUAUAUAAAGAGGCAUUAAUGAUGCAACCUGGGUAGUAUCUUCAGGCUUGGCCUAGAGCCAUCUUAAAAGGAAGGAAACCUUUGAUCUUUGGAGGAGGGUGUCUGGUUGUAGAGAUCCUACCUUUGGAGAUAAGAGGCUGGCAGGCCCACUGCAUUCUAGCUUUCACUUGACAGAGGAAGUCAAGAACCAAGAGACCAGAGCUGACUGGGUCGGCUCUGAGACAUCCCCUGGGUUGUUAUUUUUGUUGCCUGGGUCAGUUUCCUAUGAUGAUUACCAAUAAAAUCUCUAAAAUCAUCUUUAAAAAUAAUGUUCAUUCUGUAGUAGUGAUAGGAAACCGUUCUGUAGUCGGUAGCCAGACUUCAGUGUGGGGAGAAAAAUCAUCAAGGAUGGAGAGAAGCAACCAUGAAAGAGAGAGAAGCAGGCUGAGUCCCGGAGGCCUUGGUGAGGAAGAAAGCAGGAGAUCUGGCCGGAGAAGGGCUGCUGAGGAUCUCAGACAGUGUAGGAUCCAGCAAGGAAACUGCUGUCUCUUAGGUUCUAACAAUUCAAGCUUUUUGUUUCUUCUCUCCAGGUUUACAAUCUAUUUAAAACUCUGUACUUUAGUACGUAAUAAUUCUUUCUUACAACUUUUUCACAGAGCUUUCCGAAAGAAUUUAUCUUCUGGGUUUGGGGAAUGCUGAGAAGUCCAGCUCACUAGGAAAUAAAUUCAACCUGAUGACUUAAGCAAACUUCCUGAAUGGCCAAUGUAUGAAUUUAUCUCCAAUUCAAGAAUGAACAGAGCAUUGUCUUACCAAAUGUCAUCAUUUCCUGCCUUUGAGAAGGGACUAGAAAGACUUGUGCUGAACCAAUUCAGAGUAUUUUAGGUAGGUCUUCAACUGAAACCUGGAAAUCAAAGCAAAAGAGAAGAAAGAUAAAUAAAUAAAAACAAAAUCUGUGCGCUUCGGGAAACAAGUGGUUUGGAGGAAAAGCUAAUUUUCAAAGGUCUCCAUCGGCCCCGUGGCCACUCCCUUCUCUUCUAGGACCUUUCCGCCUCCCUUCAUUUCAGCUUUGAGUUAGGAAUACUGGAACUGAUCACUUUUCAGCCUCAAUAAGUCCUUGCUAAUUAUUUUAACAUUUCAGGUUCAGGAAACCCAAGCCCAGUGUUUGUGAAGUGUGCUUUGCCUUGAUUUGUAUGUCCUCUUAUAUUUCAAGGGAAGUUGGGUCCAUGUGUUUCUGAUUCAUUUCUACUUAACUCAUCAAGACAUUGUUCCAUGAAGGCCAUUUGAUGUCCGAAGAGUCUGCUAAAACUUUUGUUCGUGAAACCAUAAAGUCAGUGAAGUAAUACGCAGUUUAUAACAAAAGCACAGGAUUAGGAGCCCCAAGAAUUAGCUCUCCGGACCCCCAUCCCUGACCUUUCAUACCACCAGGAAGCCCUUAUCUACAUAUCCGUGUAAUCUGGGUAGAGAUAACAAUGUUUUAUGCAAAGAUGAGAGAAUUUUAUAAUAAAAUAUAAUUUUGGAGAGUCUUUUUUAAGAGUAAGGCAUGUUAUAAACCAACAUCAAAAUAGCUUUCGAGUUGAAAGAAUGAGUUUUUGCCUGGUUUUGAGGCUGUUAUAGUAGUUUUCCUGGCCAAGUAACAUAACGCAAAAUUAAAAUUUCAAAUGGUGAUUAGAUGAAACAUGCCUCCACCUGAAAGCAUAAUCUUUACAUGGAUUUUACACUGUGGAAAGCGCACUAUGUUUCCUACUGGUUUCCUUUUUGAGCUAACAAUCAUGUCACCAAUCUGUUUAACAAGUUGCGGGAAGAUAAGGGGUAGAUAUUUGCCAUAGGGGGACCUUUCUGUUUCUCGUUCAAAGGCAGACAUUCUCCUGAAAUUUCACUUUGGAGCACAGAUAGUGAAGCUAAAGUUACUCUAAAUGGAGUAGUGACAAACUUAGCAGGUAUCAACGAUGAAGCACAUUUUUGUUUCUUCAUUUAUUUCAACUUUCCACUGAGUUCAUUAUUGUGCUGUCUCUUGCUGGUCUGUGGGUUCUCAGGUGGCAACACUGAUGGUUUACUGUGUCCCCAGAGGGCAUGAUAGGAUUCAGGAAUCAGUUUUGACUGGGGUCAACAGUAGAAGUCAAGGGAGUUCUCAAUCACAAUAACAACAAAAUUACGGAAAACAGGUUCACGCAAACUAAUAGCCAUUCCUCUCAAGCUUUUUCAUCUGCAGGGCACCUAGCAGAGAAGAGAGAGGCCAUGGGGCUGAUGGAGACCUUUGAAAAUUAGGUUUUUCCCCAAACCAUUUGUUCCAAGCUCACAAACUUUGUAUUUAUUUAUUUUCUCUCAGUCACUCGAUCUCCAAGCAGUGGCCUGGUAUCAGGCACAGGGCCCAGUCAAAUGUGUCGUAAGCACCACCCAGAACAGACUGAGACACACAGGCAGACGGUCAGCAGACAUGUAGCCCCCGUUCUCAGGAUCUGGAAAAGGAGUGGUUGGGCUGAGCACAGCCAGAUCCACCCUGGCUGUGCUGCAGGAGAGGGACCCAGCCCCUCUUCUGUUCUUUUUAUACAAUUCUCCAGACAGCAGCCUUGUGAUAAGGGGACAAAACAAUCUAAGCUUCGUCACCAGCUGCCCAGAGGAAGUACAUGCCAGUGCUGGGUAUACCAGCUGCCUGGCCCAAAUAUUCCUCGGAGACCUUGUGGCCAGUGGAGACUGGCCACUGCCCCUCCUGCCGAGGUGACAAGUGGUAACUGAUCCCAGCUGGCUCCUGCCAGCCAACCUAGAGAGAUUCACUGGUCAAGCUUCUGGGUCUCUCCACAAUUGGCAGCUGUUGAGACCCAGUAGGAGGGCACCCACUACCUGCCCAGGGCGCGGGAUGAGGGAAUCAGGAAAGAUAAAACAUCUGUAUUUGAACCAUGGCAAACAAACAACCACCACAAAAACCUAAGGGCUAGCCUUCUGGAGUUCACAGUCUAGGGAACAAGGUCAGAAAAAAGACAAGGAUCAUACAAUAUAGGAAAUGAUCUUACAGAGGUAUGCAUGCCUCCAGUGAUAUCACAAAUAAGGUGGUCGCCAACCCUGAUGGCAGGAGGGAGGGUUCUUGGGAGCCUUCCCAAGAAGUAUGUGCUCGCGAUGGGAAGGCAGUCCUGCAGGUCGGGCGAAGCGGGUAGCGGGCGGAGGGCACGACAUGUAGGCAGGAACCUAAUUACACAGAGCUAAAGAAAGCUGGGAGGAACUAGACCCUCCCCGACCCCAUUUUACAUUUUCUGGAAGAGUCCAACCAUAAGAACCUAAAGUCCAACAGUAUAUAAGGGUUUCCCCCAGUUCCACAAACAACUAAGCAAUGCCAGGUAUGUUUCAAAAGCGAAGACUCUUUCAGGACCCUCUCAAGUCUCAAAUGUCUGCUGUCACCUUCUCCUACCUGAGUGGCCUGCUUGAUGCCCUCUUCCAGACUGGUUAUUGAGCUGGGCAAUAUUACCUAAACUUCUUUUCUGACAGCCUUUGGCUGGGGGUUGUUUCCAUCCACCUGGGGUACCCAAAGACCCCUGCACCUUAUCCAUCUGAAAAGGAGAGUGAAUUUCCUUCUGGUCAGGCCAAAGAACACAGCUCCUGUAACAAAACUCAAAGCUCUGAUAAUAAGAGAUUCCGUCCUUUUAAGUUUUGUUGUAUCUAACUGUUCCUGCUUCAGAAUCUCAGAGGCUUGACCAAGGUGGAGCAUAGUGUCAUCUCCAAGUCCCCAUGUGUUCUGGGUCAUGGGAAAGCUGAUAUGCUAUCUCCGUUAAAGGCCUACAUGGCUUGGCCCUGUAACUACGUUCCAUUUGUAUCCGGGGAGCCAGGGCACUCCAGUCCCCUACUAAUCGGCUCCCAGAGGCACUUGGCAGCCCCGCUCCGUCCCCGUCACUCUUUCUCUACAGCCAGGCAGUGAAUGAAAUGACAUUCUUGGUAGCUCUGAAGGGCUUUGAGUCCUGAAGUUCCAAAUUCAUAGCUCUUAAGCUGGCGUGAAACAGCCCUUGCUUUAGCUAUUAGGGUGCACCUAGGAGAAAUGGGAAACAAAAUUUAGAAGCACAUAAAUAGAUUUACUGCAUGUAAAUCUUAACAUCUUGAAAAGCAUAAUGCACUUAAAGGGAUGAAUCUGGCUGAGAUUGUAGAGAUGAUAAUGUAGUGAGAGUGUGUAUUUGUUAUCUAUUGCUGUAUAGCAGCAAAUCACCCCAAAACUUAGUGGUGUAAAAUAAUAAUAAUCACUUGUCUUUCAGGGUUCUGCGAUUCAGGAAUUUGGGAGUGGCUCAGCUGGGUGAUUUGGGUCUCACGGGGUUACAGGAAGAGGGUGACUGGGCUGGGGGCCAUUUUGAAGGGUUUUUCGCUAGCAUGCCUGGUGCCGCAGCUGGGAAGACUCACACAGCUGGUGGCCAGCACCACAGGGGCUCCUCCAGAUGGUGUCUCCACUUGCCCUCUGCAUCAUGGCAACUGUAGGGUAUCUGGAUUUCUUACAGGGCAGCUCAGGCUCCCCAAAGGCACAUCUCCUAAGAUACAGAGUCAUUUGGAGGCCGUGUCGCUGUUCCCCACCCAGCCGCAGAAGUGUCCGAGGGCUUCUUCUUCCUCACCCUAUUCAGCAGAAUCGAGUCACUGAGUCCGGCCGGUGUUUAAGGGGAAGGCAUGUGCUAAACAAUUGGGAGACAGAAGCAAAUUUACACAGUCCAUGCUUUCAAGGAGCUCACAGUCAAAAUUACCAUUCCAUGUGACGACAGCAACAUUAGGAGCAUAAGUGAGGCACAGAGAUGGAAUAGAGGGUACAUUUCCAGAAGUGGAAUUAUUGAGUGAAAAGGUGUUGGGAAGAUUCCUGCUACAGAGCAGCAACCAGAGCUCAGAGAGAUACACCAAUGUGCUCUCCCGCCUGCAGCAGUGAGAGAAGGGCUCGUCUUACCACCGUCAAAAUGAUCUUGCCUUUUCAGAUUCUGAAUUGAUUUGGGUUUGGAGCGUGAGAGGUUCUGAACAUCUGCAUGAGCUGGGAGAGCAGGAGGCAAGAGGAAAGGGGACAGGAGCAAGUUCAGAAGGAGGCCAAGGCUACUGUCCUGAAAUGAAGAAGUAUGUUCCCUGCCUAGACUGGCUUGGGACAAGAAUCUCUCGGAACAAACAAAAGAGCAUGAGCAGAGCCUAGAAGAGUUUCUGGACCCCACUGACGUGAACAAAAGUCACAAGACUCUUAGUGAUGAGGAACCGGAGUUUUAUCAGAUCCCCUCUCCCACUUUAAAUAUUAUGCAAAUGUUUAUAUAUAUUGAUGCUAGUAUUAAGCAUGUGGUAAACUGUCUAGGGUUGUCAUUCCAUAAUGUGGAUUCACUCAUUCCCUAUUAACCAUUCUCUGCUUUCAUAAAGCCAAACUAUGAACUCC
ensembl:lncRNA